rnacentral:hammerhead_ribozyme from 1 species
AUCAAGCUGACGAGUCUCAAAUAGGACAAAACGUGCGUUCCGGAU